rnacentral:rRNA from 1 species
GAUGAACGCUAGCUACAGGCUUAACACAUGCAAGUCGAGGGGCAGCAUUUCAGUUUGCUUGCAAACUGGAGAUGGCGACCGGCGCACGGGUGAGUAACACGUAUCCAACCUGCCGAUAACUCGGGGAUAGCCUUUCGAAAGAAAGAUUAAUACCCGAUGGUAUAAUCAGACCGCAUGGUCUUGUUAUUAAAGAAUUUCGGUUAUCGAUGGGGAUGCGUUCCAUUAGGCAGUUGGUGAGGUAACGGCUCACCAAACCUUCGAUGGAUAGGGGUUCUGAGAGGAAGGUCCCCCACAUUGGAACUGAGACACGGUCCAAACUCCUACGGGAGGCAGCAGUGAGGAAUAUUGGUCAAUGGGCGCAGGCCUGAACCAGCCAAGUAGCGUGAAGGAUGACUGCCCUAUGGGUUGUAAACUUCUUUUAUAUGGGAAUAAAGUUUUCCACGUGUGGAAUUUUGUAUGUACCAUAUGAAUAAGGAUCGGCUAACUCCGUGCCAGCAGCCGCGGUAAUACGGAGGAUCCGAGCGUUAUCCGGAUUUAUUGGGUUUAAAGGGAGCGUAGGUGGACAGUUAAGUCAGUUGUGAAAGUUUGCGGCUCAACCGUAAAAUUGCAGUUGAUACUGGCUGUCUUGAGUACAGUAGAGGUGGGCGGAAUUCGUGGUGUAGCGGUGAAAUGCUUAGAUAUCACGAAGAACUCCGAUUGCGAAGGCAGCUCACUGGACUGCAACUGACACUGAUGCUCGAAAGUGUGGGUAUCAAACAGGAUUAGAUACCCUGGUAGUCCACACAGUAGACGAUGAAUACUCGCUGUUUGCGAUAUACAGUAAGCGGCCAAGCGAAAGCAUUAAGUAUUCCACCUGGGGAGUACGCCGGCAACGGUGAAACUCAAAGGAAUUGACGGGGGCCCGCACAAGCGGAGGAACAUGUGGUUUAAUUCGAUGAUACGCGAGGAACCUUACCCGGGCUUAAAUUGCAUUUGAAUAUAUUGGAAACAGUAUAGCCGUAAGGCAAAUGUGAAGGUGCUGCAUGGUUGUCGUCAGCUCGUGCCGUGAGGUGUCGGCUUAAGUGCCAUAACGAGCGCAACCCUUAUCUUUAGUUACUAACAGGUCAUGCUGAGGACUCUAGAGAGACUGCCGUCGUAAGAUGUGAGGAAGGUGGGGAUGACGUCAAAUCAGCACGGCCCUUACGUCCGGGGCUACACACGUGUUACAAUGGGGGGUACAGAAGGCAGCUACCUGGUGACAGGAUGCUAAUCCCAAAAGCCUCUCUCAGUUCGGAUCGAAGUCUGCAACCCGACUUCGUGAAGCUGGAUUCGCUAGUAAUCGCGCAUCAGCCAUGGCGCGGUGAAUACGUUCCCGGGCCU